UCCUGGGGCAUGAAGGGCACUGAAAUGGCCUCUCGCCUGUGUGGGUGCGCAGGUGUCGGUCCAGACUACUCUUUUGUGAGAAGCUCUGAGGGCAGGCAGGGCACUGAAAUGGCUUCUCACCCGAGUGGAUGUGCAUGUGAAGCUUCAGUCUGCAGUUUCUUGAAAAGCUCCAAGGGCAUAAUGGGCACUGAAACGGCAUGUCACCCGUGUAGAUGUGCAGGUGUCGCUUCAGGUA